rnacentral:lncRNA from 1 species
CGCCUUUGCCUCCAAGGCUUUGCUGGCUUGUGCGGCAUCCUGCUCCGUCUGCAGGUUGUGCUUCCGGUGCGGAGGUCAGGGACAAGAUGGUGCCACCGGUGCAGGUCUCUCCGCUCAUCAAGCUCGGCCGCUACUCCGCCCUGUUCCUCGGUGUGGCCUACGGAGCCACGCGCUACAGUGAGUGACCGCGGGCGGGGCCGGGGCGGGGUCUGCUCGGCUUUCCUGUGGAGCUCCUGUGCUAUUUGGAGAACUCCAGCUCUGGAAGGGGGCUUGGGACGCAUGCGAGGCUGCAGGACCGUGUCCUCCACCGAGCGUGACCCCGAUAGUGGAAUCAGCUCACCCAAAGCUCAGGCUUCUGAGGCCCGGGCGGGGGACUCGAAAACGGCUGCUUCUUGGUGAAAACGGGUGCUAAAUGGCUGUUCGAGUGCUGAGGUCUUGAUGGGAGGCAGUCCCUGUUCGCAGAGGACGAGUGAGCCAGUGCGUGAGCGGGUGGGCAGCAGGGGCCCUGUAGCCUCUGGGUUGGACUCGUCAGGGUGAAGGUCAGGCGUUGACUCGCAUUAACAUAAAGAGCGGGAACAGCAGAUGACAGCAUAUUAAAGUGAGUGACCCUGCGACCCACUCUUUGGACCAGCAGCGGAUGAAUAAAGCUUCCUGUGUUGUGUGAU